GAUGAACGCUGGCGGCGUGCCUAAUACAUGCAAGUCGAGCGAACGGACGAGAAGCUUGCUUCUCUGAUGUUAGCGGCUGACGGGUGAGUAACACGUGGAUAACCUACCUAUAAGACUGGGAUAACUUCGGGAAACCGGAGCUAAUACCGGAUAAUAUUUUGAACCGCAUGGUUCAAAAGUGAAAGACGGUCUUGCUGUCACUUAUAGAUGGAUCCGCGCUACAUUAGCUAGUUGGUAAGGUAACGGCUUACCAAGGCAACGAUGCAUAGCCGACCUGAGAGGGUGAUCGGCCACACUGGAAAUGAGACAAGGUCCAGACUCCUACGGGAGGCAGCAGUAGGGAAUCUUCCGCAAUGGGCGAAAGCCUGACGGAGCAACGCCGCGUGAGUGAUGAAGGUCUUCGGAUCGUAAAACUCUGUUAUUCGGGAAGAACAUAUGUGUAAGUAACUGUGCACAUCUUGACGGUACCUAAUCAGAAAGCCACGGCUAACUACGUG
rnacentral:rRNA from 1 species